rnacentral:tRNA from 1 species
AGGCUUGUAGCUCAGGUGGUUAGAGCGCACCCCUGAUAAGGGUGAGGUCGGUGGUUCAAGUCCACUCAGGCCUCCA